rnacentral:misc_RNA from 1 species
GAAGAAAACAGUACAAUAAAUACAAUAUACAAGAACAGCAACGCAGAAUCCUCCAAGUAUAUGCUUAGAAUAUCUAUAUAGUACCAAAAAUUUUGUCAAAUAUUUCCUUCAUCAAUAAUGCUAGCAAGAAAGAAGAAACAAGAAACAAGAAAGAAGAAAGGAGGCAACAAUAAUGUCAAGCCAUAUUGAUCAAGAAAUCUUGACAGAGAUCCUCAAAAGAUUACCUGCAAAAUUUCUUGUGCAGCUAAGGUGUGUAUCCAAAUCAUGGUACUCCUUAAUCACCAAUCCUUCUUUCAUUUCCAUACACUCUAAAUUUACCCUAGAGAACAGUACAAGAAGCACUACUUGUACUGAUAAAUUGAUGCUUAGGCACUAUUCUUGGACUCACAAGAAGGAGAUAUACACAAUACAGAGCAGCGGCAUGAGCUUAUUUGAUCAGUAUCAAGAACUUGUUUUCCCCUUCAAGAGCUACUCUCAGUACUUUGAGAUUGUUGGUUCUUGUAAUGGGAUUCUUUGUCUUUCUGAUACUUAUCGUGUCAAUUCUCACACUAUCAUUUUAUGGAAUCCCACAAUUAGAAAAUCAACUACUUUGCCACUGCCAUGCAUAUCUUUUCACCAAAUCUAUAUGUUUGUUCUUGGAUUUGGAUGUGAUGAUAAAAGCAAUGAAUACAAAGUCGUGAGAAUUGUAUAUCGUGUAAUGGAAGACAAGUGUAAAGUAGAUAUUAGACCUCAGGUUGAAGUGUAUGAGCUAAGCCUGGAUGCUUGGAGAAGCAUCAGAAUCAGUGCUGCUCCUCAGUAUGUAAUAUCUGAACUAUCGAUGCGGGUUUUUCUCAAUGGUUCUGUCCAUUGGAUUGGAUACAUUCCAAGUGAAGCAGAUAGCGAUUUUCGCAAUUUGAGCUUAGUGUUGUUCGAUAUGAGCAACGAAGUGUUCAAAGAAAUGAAGCUGCCAGAUAGUUUAACUGGGUUGUCUGUGCUAGAUUUGUCCAUUUUUGCUUCUGGUAAGUUGCUUUCUUUGAUACAAUACAAUCGCCAUGCUCGCAGCCAGUGGAUACAAUAUGGCAGCUGCUCCAUCUGGGUGAUGAAAGAUUAUGGCAAGGUUGAGUCUUGGACUAAGCAAUUCACCAUUGAUCUACAAGGAGGUAUUGGGAAGGCACUAGGCCUUGGAACUAAUGCUGAAAUGCUACUGGUGGCGAGUAGUGGAGAGCUGGUUUCAUACGGCAUCGAAAAUCAGAAAAUUAGCCAUCUGGGGAUCAAAGGCAUUGCGAAUUCUUUUCAUUUGGAGGCUUAUUCUGAGACUCUGGUUUUGCUUGAUGGCAUCAAUGAGAUCUUAGGACAGACAAGUUCCUGCAAAUUACAGUGAUUCACAUAAAGUUGAACCUUGAAAUUAUAGAGAGUUGUGAGAGCCUCUUGAAGGUUAAAUGAAGGCUGCAUAUGGUACAUUACCCUUCCACAAUCCUUUCAAAAUCAGGUUUCUUAUGUUUACAGGUUGUUAUUUAAUUUUUUUAUGCUAGUUUAUUAUAUUAUUGUUGGAACAAGAGCUUCAUUUUAUCAUACAAAAGAAUUAAGGUGGGUUGAUGUUUGUCCUGUUACCCUUUAAACAUUAAUGGCAUAGCUGCUUGUGUAGGGGACUGGUCUUUGAUUAAUUUGCUUUUGAC